GCGCGUGUAGCUCAAUGGUAGAGCGCCAAGCUUAUACCUUGGUGGUUCCUGGUUCGAUCCCAGGCACGCGCA
rnacentral:tRNA from 1 species